UACGGGGGCUGAAGGCCUGGCAGAAUGGGUGCUGAUGGAGCUACAGGGGGAGAUCGAGGCUCGCUACAGCACCGGAUUAGCUGGAAACCUCCUGGGAGACCUACAUUACACCACUGAGGGAAUCCCUGUGCUGAUCGUGGGGCAUCAUAUCCUGUAUGGGAAAAUCAUCCACCUGGAGAAACCUUUUGCAGUCCUUGUCAAACACACUCCUGGGAAGCAGGACUGUGAUGAGCUUGGUCGAGAGACUGGCACCCAGUACUUGGUGACAGCACUCAUCAAAAACAAGAUCCUUUUCAAAACUCGCCCCAAGCCUAUUAUCACCAACGUCCCCAAGAAAGUAUGAAAGAACCCCGGAUUUUCCCUAGAGAGGCCAACCCCUGGACUCGUGCUCAUUGCCACCUCGAGGACGGCUGGACGGAGGGCCUCCAGUGAACGCAGGUCACCGAUGGGUGUGAACACAGAUCCUUUCCUCAUGGCAGCAGGCUCUCUUGGUGGGACCCUGGCUCCCUUUGCAAGGAAUCCAGCUCCUUUUCCAAAUCCAUCAGGCUCAUUGGCGUCAAACCCAGCACACUUCCUGCUGGUGCUCGUGACCCAAGCAUGACUUCUUUCAAGAGGGAUGAAUCCCACUGGUACAGGUGCAGCUUCUUUCCCAAGGCCAGGAGGCCUUUUGGGACCAGGACCAGGACCAGGUUUAAACCCUAGAACAGGAGCUCUUCCAGGCCCAGGACCUAUGUCUAAUCCCAGAUUAGGAGGGCUUCCUGGUCCUGGUCCCUAUGGCCAACCCAAGGGCAGGUGGGCUCCUGGGAGCAAGUCCUGACCCUAGAAGUGGUGGCCCCAUGGGCCCUGGAUGUGGACCCAACAUGAGGGCAGGUGUUUUGUCCUCUGGGACUGGUCCUCCCAAUCCAGGCCAAUGGGCCUGGGUCCUGGACCAAGUCCAAAUCUGAGAUCAAGCUUUUUAGGUACAAACCCGGCCCCUAGGCCUGGUAUGUUUCAGGCCCAGGCCUGGGGCCCAACCCACGAGCAUGUGGCUUAGGACCGGGUCUUGGGCCCAAUCCAAGAGCUGGGGGCCCAGGCCCAGGCCCAAAUCUGGACAACAGAGCAGGAGGCCUCUUGGGUACAGGAUCUGGUCUUAACUUAAGAAUGGCUGGACCUCAAGGCUUAGAUCUUGCCCCCCAUUCUAAGGGCAGCAGGUCUUUUAGGGACAAAUUCAGUUUCUUUUUUGAGCUUCUGGAAACAUGGGCACAAACCCACCCACCAUGACAAGAGUACCUGGCCCCAUAGGCCCAAACACAGGUCCUAGCUCUCAAGGAAUUGGCCUUCCAGGGCCAAAUCCAUCUGCCAUGUCAAGGGCUCCUGGCCCCAUGGGUCCUAAUUCAGCUCAUUUCUCAAGACCAGGUGGUCCCAUGGGGGUAAAUGCUGGAGUCUUUCCAAGGGGGACAGGAUCAGGAGGACUGAACCCAGCUGCCUUCUCUCAGUCUUCUGGCACAUUGGCCUCAAAUCCAGGUACCUUUCAGAGGUCUGCUGGCCUUCAGGGCUCAAAUCAAGCAGUUUUCCCAAGAGCCUCUGGGCCACUAGGCCCCAACCCAGCUAACUUUCCAAGAGCCACUGGCCUGCAGGGUCCAAGUCCAGCCGCCUUCCCAAGGUCUGCUGGUCCGUUAGGCCCGGGUCAAGUUGCUUUCCCCAGGUCAGCUGCCGGGCACCUGGGCUCUUCUCCAGCAGGCCCUGUGGGUAUCAACCCAGCUCCUUUCGCAAGACCAACAGGGACCCUGGGCCUUAACCCAGCCUCCUUUCCAAGGAUGAAUGGCCCUGUAGGCAAGACUUUGGUCCCAUUUCCUAGGGUGGGCAGCCUCCCUGGCUCAAAUCCAGCUGCUUUCCCCAGACCAGGGGGUCCAAUGGCUGCAAUGUACCCAAAUGGAAUGUUACCCCCUUAAAUAGCAUUUUUCUUCCAGAGCCACUUUGUUAUUUAAGCACUGUGGUUCUGAGCUGGGACUGUCUCUUAGGUAAAAAGAGUAGAUCGGAACUACAGUCUGAAAAGAACACAGCUGGGGUUCAAGUUCAGCGAGCCUUCUUUUUUUCCUGCUUUUUUUUCUUGACUGAAGGCAAACUUAUUUGUGAGACACGGACUAUGGCAGAUAGGGAUGAUCCUGGCCUCAAGAAAAAGCAUCUCUGGCCUUCGGAAGUCUGCUGU